rnacentral:rRNA from 1 species
UGGUGAGAAGAGCUACGGGGGUACACCCAGACACAUUCCGAACCUGGAAGUUAAGCCCGUAAACGCUGAAAGUACUUGGAGGGAAGCCUCCUGGAAGGAUAGGAACUUGCCAAGCA